UUUUAUCAGACUCUCGUUCUGACGGCACCCAUUCACUGCAGAGCAUCCAUUGAUGAGACACUGAUGCAGUGCUACAUUUCUACAAACCUGAUGAAGACACAAACUCAUCCUGAUCUUGAGUAAACUGAGGAAAUGUUUAUUUUCAGGUGAACUGUUCCUUUAAUGCAUUACUGGUUUCACUGGUGAAAGGUCACAAGGGCUCCAUUUGAUCUGUGUCUAAAGGAAACUAAUGACUUAAUACUUUUAUACCACUAAUCUCUCUGUUUUUAAGCGCACACACCAUGUUCUCCUCUGAUGCCGGAGAAUAUCAGUUAUAAAUGAUGCUCAUGUGUGGAUUUGAGAUGAACUGGAACGGUGUGUGUGUUGAUGUGAACAUUGAAAGCCAUACGACAUGAACAUGAUGGAAAAUAAGAUGUCAGUAUUAUUCAGAGCUUGUGUUUUCUCUGUGAAAUGACAGACUCACUCUUUUAGUAAGUCUUGCAUGUCUGGGAGUGAGUUUAGAUGACAGAUCAAUACUUCUGUUAACCCUGAUUUCAUAUUCUGUUCAAAAAGAUUUAGGAAAGUUCUGAAUGAGGAGAGCGUUUCCUCAUAUAGCGCAUACUUUUAGCAGUUUAUUAAAUACAGUAUAAUAUCACCUUGA